rnacentral:rRNA from 1 species
GAUGAACGCUGGCGGCGUGCCUAACACAUGCAAGUCGAGCGGAGAAUUGUUGCUUGCAACAAUUCUUAGCGGCGGACGGGUGAGUAACACGUGGGUAACCUGCCCUAAACAAAGGGAUAACAAUGAGAAAUCAUUGCUAAUACCGUAUAAGCUUACACUAUCGCAUGAUAGAGUAAGAAAAGAUUUAUCGGUUUAGGAGGGGCCCGCGUCUGAUUAGCUAGUUGGAGAGGUAACUGCUCACCAAGGCGACGAUCAGUAGCCGACCUGAGAGGGUGAUCGGCCACAUUGGGACGGAGACACGGCGGAAACUCCUACGGGGGGCAGCAGUGGGGAAUAUUGCACGAUGGAGGAAACUAGGAUGCAGCAACGCCGCGGGAAGGAAGAAGGUUUUCGGAUCGUAAAAUUCUAUCUACAGGGAAGAAAAAAAUGACGGUACCUGAGUAAGAAGCCCCGGCUAACUACGUG